GACGAACGCUGGCGGCGUGCUUAACACAUGCAAGUCGAACGGAAAGGCCCUGCUUUUGUGGGGUGCUCGAGUGGCGAACGGGUGAGUAACACGUGAGUAACCUGCCCUUGACUUUGGGAUAACUUCAGGAAACUGGGGCUAAUACCGGAUAGGAGCUCCUGCUGCAUGGUGGGGGUUGGAAAGUUUCGGCGGUUGGGGAUGGACUCGCGGCUUAUCAGCUUGUUGGUGGGGUAGUGGCUUACCAAGGCUUUGACGGGUAGCCGGCCUGAGAGGGUGACCGGCCACAUUGGGACUGAGGUACGGCCCAGACUGCUACGGGAGGCAGCAGUGGGGAAUAUUGCACAAUGGGCGGAAGCCUGAUGCAGCAACGCCGCGUGCGGGAUGACGGCCUUCGGGGUGUAAACCGCUUUCGCCUGUGACGAAGCGUGAGUGACGGUAAUGGGUAAAGAAGCACCGGCUAACUACGUG
rnacentral:rRNA from 1 species